CCUACGGGAGGCAGCAGUGGGGAAUAUUGGACAAUGGGCGAAAGCCUGAUCCAGCAAUGCCGCGUGAGUGAUGAAGGCCUUAGGGUUGUAAAGCUCUUUUACCAGGGAUGAUAAUGACAGUACCUGGAGAAUAAGCUCCGGCUAACUCCGUGCCAGCAGCCGCGGUAAUACGGAGGGAGCUAGCGUUGUUCGGAAUUACUGGGCGUAAAGCGUACGUAGGCGGUUAUUCAAGUCAGAGGUGAAAGCCUGGAGCUCAACUCCAGAACUGCCUUUGAAACUAGAUAGCUAGAAUCUUGGAGAGGUGAGUGGAAUUCCGAGUGUAGAGGUGAAAUUCGUAGAUAUUCGGAAGAACACCAGUGGCGAAGGCGACUCACUGGACAAGUAUUGACGCUGAGGUACGAAAGCGUGGGGAGCAAACAGGAUUAGAUACCCUGGUAGUCCACGCCGUAAACGAUGAUAACUAGCUGUUCGGGCUCUACGAGCUUGAGUGGCGCAGCUACGACAUUAAGUUAUCCGUCCGUCGGGAGGUACGGUCGGCGAAGAAUUAAAACUUAAAAUUAGUAAGUUAGUACGGCGUGAGACGUGCCGAACGGACGACGACGAGGGAGGUAGG
rnacentral:rRNA from 1 species